rnacentral:rRNA from 1 species
GAUGAACGCUAGCGGCAGGCUUAACACAUGCAAGUCGAGGGGUAGAGUUAGCUUGCUAACUUGAGACCGGCGCACGGGUGCGUAACGCGUAUGCAAUCUACCUUAUACAUAGGGAUAAACCAGAGAAAUUUGGAUUAAUAACUCAUAGUAUAAUUGAAUGGCAUCAUUUAAUUAUUAAAUUUCCAACGUUAUAAGAUGAGCAUGCGUCCUAUUAGCUAGAGGGUAAGGUAACGGCUUACCAUGGCAACGAUAGGUAGGGGUCCUGAGAGGGAGAUCCCCCAAACUGGUACUGAGACACGGACCAGACUCCUACGGGAGGCAGCAGUGAGGAAUAUUGGACAAUGGGCGCAAGCCUGAUCCAGCCAUGCCGCGUGAAGGAAGAAGCAUCUAUGGUGUGUAAACUGCUUUUGUACGGGAAGAAACACCCCUUCGUGAAGGGACUUGACGGUACCGUAAGAAUAAGGAUCGGCUAACUCCGUGCCAGCAGCCGCCGUAAUAC